rnacentral:rRNA from 1 species
CUCCACCGCCUCCCGGAGGACAUCAUGCUGUGGGAGAUCCUCGUCCGCCUCCCUGCCAGGGACAUCCUCCGCUGCCGUGCAGUCUGCCGCUCCUGGAGCCGCCUCGCCUCCGCCCCCGAUUUCCUCCUUGCCCACCAUCGGUGCCAGCAAUCGCUCCCCCUCGCCGUGCUCUACGGCGGCACGGCCAGUUCAAGUACAGAGGCUGGCCACCGGGUUUUGGGGCGAGGCCGAAGCCGGCCUGUCCUCGGGUUCGAUGACCACGAUAAUGGAUGCAUGUUGCACGCCUCCUGCGACGGCCUCCUCCUGCUAAGCCUGUCUAACGGCUGCUUCAGCAUCUGCAACCCAGCCACGCGUCAGUGCGCUUCACUCCCGGACCUCCCCACCGUAGGCUACAUCAAAAUCGCGGCAAUGUACUUGCACCGCGAGUCCGGCGAGUACCGCGUCCUUUACCGUAAAGCAGCUGCGUACUACAUCCUUACGGUGCCGGUGCGGCGGAGGGGCUCGCCGAGGUGCAUCGUGGUUCCUUCAGAUACCCCUGACAUGAUGCUUUGUUAUUUGGCCCCACCCGUCGUGUUCUGCGACCACCUUCACUGGGGACCUAAUUGGCCUCACUACGAUGCCGGCCUACUUGUUUUCGACACUGUGGUCGAGUCAUUUAGGUCCAUGAGCUGCCCGGCUGGUGCAAUCGGCCGCUCCGCUCAUUUGUGCGACAUGGAUGGUUCGAUUGGCUUCAGUUGCUUGAACUAUUUGAGGUCAGUCGUCACAAUCUGGGUACUGGAGGACUAUGAGAGGGAGGUCUGGGCAUUCAAGCACCAUGUUAAAUUCCCAGCAGAGAUCUUCUGUACCAGGAGCAUUGCUUAUACACACCAUUGUGUUUUGUCACAUGAGGGAGAUGUGCUGGUCUACAAUAUUUAUGAUUGUCGCAUGUUCCACUGUGACGGAGACGGCAAGUUGCUAGAGGUAUUGCAGUGGGAAUACAACUCACAACGGUUGGAAAUUAUUGGACACAAGUUUAAAGAAAGCCUCGUCGAGCAUGAGUUGUUC